rnacentral:rRNA from 1 species
AACGAACGCUGGCGGCAUGCCUAACACAUGCAAGUCGAACGAGACCUUCGGGUCUAGUGGCGCACGGGUGCGUAACGCGUGGGAACCUGCCCUUAGGUUCGGAAUAACUCCCCGAAAGGGGUGCUAAUACCGGAUAAUGUCUUCGGCCCAAAGAUUUAUCGCCUUUGGAUGGGCCCGCGUUGGAUUAGCUAGUUGGUAGGGUAAAAGCCUACCAAGGCGACGAUCCAUAGCUGGUCUGAGAGGAUGAUCAGCCACACUGGGACUGAGACACGGCCCAGACUCAUACGGGAGGAAGCAGUGGGGAAUAUUGGACAAUGGGCGAAAGACUGAGCCAGCAAUGCCGCGUGAGUGAUGAAGGCCUUAGGGUUGUAAAGCUCUUUUAGCCGGGAUGAUAAUGACAGUACCGGGAGAAUAAGCUCGGGCUAGAUCCGUG